UACGUAGGGUACAAGCAUUAAUCGGAAUUAUUGGGCGUAAAGGGCGCGUAGGCGGAUAUAUAAGUCAGGUGUGAAAUACCAAAGCUCAACUUUGGUGCUGCAUCUGAAACUGUAUGACUAGAGGAUUGACGGAGAAAGCGGAAUUCCACAUGUAGCGGUGAAAUGCGUAGAUAUGUGGAGGAACACCUGUGGCGAAAGCGGCUUUCUAGUUUUUACCUGACGCUGAAGCGCGAGAGCAAGGGGAGCAAACAGG
rnacentral:rRNA from 1 species